GCUUACGGCCAUACCAGCCUGGGUACGCCCGAUCUUGUCUGAUCUCGGAAGCUAAGCAGGGUCGGGCCUGGUUAGUACUUGGAUGGGAGACAGCCUGGGAAUACCAGGUGCUGUAAGCA
rnacentral:rRNA from 1 species